AUUGAACGCUGGCGGAAUGCUUUACACACGCAAGUCGAACGGCAGCACGGACUUCGGUCUGGUGGCGAGUGGCGAACGGGUGAGUAAUAUAUCGGAACGUAUCCAAUAAUGGGGGAUAACUAAUCGAAAGGUUGGCUAAUACCGCAUACGUCCUACGGGAGAAAGCUAGGGACCUUCGGGCCUGGCGUUAAUGGAGCGGCCGAUAUGGGAUUAGCUAGUUGGUGAGGUAAAGGCUCACCAAGGCGACGAUCCGUAGCUGGUCUGAGAGGACGACCAGCCACACUGGAACUGAGACACGGUCCAGACUCCUACGGGAGGCAGCAGUGGGGAAUUUUGGACAAUGGGCGAAAGCCUGAUCCAGCCAUUCCGCGUGAGUGAAGAAGGCCUUCGGGUUGUAAACUUCUGUUAAGUGGGAAAAAAGACCGGUUUUUAAUAGAAAUCGGGGAUGAUUGUACCAUUAGAGAAAGCACUGGCUAACUCUGUGCCAGCCGCCGCGGUAA
rnacentral:rRNA from 1 species